UCCGUUGUAGUCUAGUUGGUCAGGAUAUUUGGCUCUCACCCGAAAGACCAGGGUUCAAGUCCUGGCAACGGAA
rfam:Cajanus cajan Scaffold132340_15, whole genome shotgun sequence.